rnacentral:rRNA from 1 species
UACGAAGGGGCUAGCGUUGCUCGGAAUCACUGGGCGUAAAGCGCACGUAGGCGGAUUGUUAAGUCAGGGGUGAAAUCCUGGAGCUCAACUCCAGAACUGCCUUUGAUACUGGCGAUCUCGAGUCGGGAGAGGUGAGUGGAACUGCGAGUGUAGAGGUGAAAUUCGUAGAUAUUCGCAAGAACACCAGUGGCGAAGGCGGCUCACUGGCCCGGUACUGACGCUGAGGUGCGAAAGCGUGGG